rnacentral:rRNA from 1 species
UACGAAGGGGGCUAGCGUUGUUCGGAAUCAUUGGGCGUAAAGCGCACGUAGGCGGUUCGUUAUGUCGGAUGUGAAAGCCCUUGGCUUAACCGAGGAAGUGCAUCCGAAACUGGCGAGCUAGAGUACGAAAGAGGAUCGCGGAAUUCCCGGUGUAGAGGUGAAAUUCGUAGAUAUCGGGAGGAACACCGGUGGCGAAGGCGGCGAUCUGGGUCGAUACUGACGCUGAGGUGCGAAAGCGUGGGGAGCAAACAGG